AUGAAGCAAAUCAAGAGCAAUUUAAAGGAGGUACAGCUCCUUUAAAAAAGAACACAAUCUCCUGCAGCGGAUAAAUAUUAACUACUCAUACUGACUGUGGGCCUUCAAGCAGCCAUCAAAAAAGAAUGCGUCAAAGCUCUUUAAACAGAAAAAAUUCUAAAAUAGAACGACUCCCUUACAAGCUAGCAGGNUAACCUAUCAACCAUAGGAGAAUUAAUGCUAAAAUGAGUAACUAAGGAGGACCUCCCCUCUCCUCUCGAGCGCACGCUUACACACCCGUUAUUAACAGACUAACAAUACUUCAACACCAACAAGCCCAAGUAUUAACACACCUGUUAACCCGCCCACAGGAGCGCCUACUAGAAAGAUUAACAUCUGUAAAAGGAACUAGGCAAACCCAAGGCCCGACUGUUUACCAAAAACAUAGCCUUCAGCAAACCAAGUAUUGGAGGUGAUGCCUGCCCAGUGACCCAAUGUUCAACGGCCGCGGUAUCCUAACCGUGCAAAGGUAGCGCAAUCAAUUGUCCCAUAAAUCGAGACUUGUAUGAAAGGCUAAACGAGGUCUUAACUGUCUCUUACAGAUAAUCAGUGAAAUUGAUCUCCCUGUGCAAAAGCAGGGAUUAACCCAUAAGACGAGAAGACCCUGUGGAACUUGAAAAUCAGCUACCACCCCUCACAAACUUGAACCUAUUAGGUCUACCCUUAUUAAAGUGCUGGUAUACAUUUUUCGGUUGGGGCGACUUUGGAGAAAAACGAAUCCUCCAAACAUAAGACUACACCUCUUAAUCAAGAGCAACUUCUCAACAUACUAAUAGUAACCAGACCCAGUAUAAUUGAUUAAUGGACCAAGCUACCCCAGGGAUAACAGCGCAAUCUCCCCCGAGAGCUCAUAUCGACAGGGAGGUUUACGACCUCGAUGUUGGAUCAGGACAUCCUAAUGGUGCAGCCGCUAUUAAGGGUUCGUUUGUUCAACGAUUAAUAGUCCUACGUGAUCUGAGUUCAGACCGGAGCAAUCCAGGUCGGUUUCUAUCUAUGUUAAACUUCCCCUAGUACGAAAGGACCGGAGAAGUGAGGCCAAUACCACAAGCAUGCCUCCCCUUACAAAUAAUGACCUCAACUUAAUUAUCAAAAAGGUUACCACUCCCAUUGCCCUAGAAAAGGGCCCAGCUAGCGUGGCAGAGCUCGGCAAAUGCAA
rnacentral:rRNA from 1 species